UACGUAGGGUGCAAGCGUUGUCCGGAAUUAUUGGGCGUAAAGAGCUCGUAGGCGGUCUGUCGCGUCGGAUGUGAAAAUCCAGGGCUCAACCCUGGAUCUGCAUUCGAUACGGGCAGACUAGAGUUCGGUAGGGGAGACUGGAAUUCCUGGUGUAGCGGUGAAAUGCGCAGAUAUCAGGAGGAACACCGGUGGCGAAGGCGGGUCUCUGGGCCGAAACUGACGCUGAGGAGCGAAAGCGUGGGGAGCAAACAGG
rnacentral:rRNA from 1 species